rnacentral:rRNA from 1 species
GAUGAACGCUGGCGGCGUGCCUAAUACAUGCAAGUCGAGCGAACGGACGAGAAGCUUGCUUUUCUGAUGUUAGCGGCGGACGGGUGAGUAACACGUGGAUAACCUACCUAUAAGACUGGGAUAACUUCGGGAAACCGGAGCUAAUACCGGAUAAUAUUUUGAACCGCAUGGUUCAAAAGUGAAAGACGGUCUUGCUGUCACUUAUAGAUGGAUCCGCGCUGCAUUAGCUAGUUGGUAAGGUAACGGCUUACCAAGGCAACGAUGCAUAGCCGACCUGAGAGGGUGAUCGGCCACACUGGAACUGAGACACGGUCCAGACUCCUACGGGAGGCAGCAGUAGGGAAUCUUCCGCAAUGGGCGAAAGCCUGACGGAGCAACGCCGCGUGAGUGAUGAAGGUCUUCGGAUCGUAAAGCUCUGUUAUUAGGGAAGAACAUAUGUGUAAGUAACUGUGCACAGCUUGACGGUACCUAAUCAGAAAGCCACGGCUAACUACGUG